rnacentral:lncRNA from 1 species
CCAAGUGCAGCGGACUUUCCCAGGUGCCCAGGAGGCCAUGUGCUCACUGGCCUGCAAAUUCCAGGACUUUCCACCAUCUGAGUCACACCCCAGAGGCUCCCGAGCCAUAACUGCUAGGUACAGACAGAGCUGGUACACCAGAGCUGCCCUCCUGUCCAGUCUCCCAUGGACUGAGGAACCCCUUGGAGCAGCAUGUCCAAUAGGGAUUUGAUGGGCAUUGCCCAAGAGACGCCCUGUGUUCUACAGCCAGUGUCCCAGGGAAGGAGAGUGAGGGGAGCUUCAGGCCACAGUGUCCACCUGAACCCAUACACAGGGACGUGUGGCUGCACUGUACUCAGUCUCAGCGGUACUCCAGUGGUUUGCACCCGUUUCUGCAGAGGACUUUGGAAUCCCAUGUGCUGUACAGGUCAUCAGGGCUGCCUUCGGACCAGCUGUCUGCAGUAGCCCCUGGAGGCUGCAGGGCUGGAAGGACCCCCUGCCACACCUGAGGCAGGAUCCACAGGCCUCCGUGGGGGGUAGUGGGCAGGAUGGACUGUAGGUGCACAGGCAGGGUGGCGGGAGGGCGGCCUUGCAGGACCGGGGCCAGCUGCCUCCAGGAGGGAGGAAGCACCUGGCAAUCUCGCCUUGGCAGGAAGUUGCCUCUCGCCUCCGGCUGC